AUGAACGCUGGCGGCGUGCCUAAUACAUGCAAGUCGAGCGAACAGAUGAGGAGCUUGCUCCUCUGACGUUAGCGGCGGACGGGUGAGUAACACGUGGAUAACCUACCUAUAAGACUGGGAUAACUUCGGGAAACCGGAGCUAAUACCGGAUAAUAUAUUGAACCGCAUGGUUCAAUAGUUAAAGACGGUUUUGCUGUCACUUAUAGAUGGAUCCGCGCCGCAUUAGCUAGUUGGUAAGGUAACGGCUUACCAAGGCAACGAUGCGUAGCCGACCUGAGAGGGUGAUCGGCCACACUGGAACUGAGACACGGCCCAGACUCCUACGGGAGGCAGCAGUAGGGAAUCUUCCGCAAUGGGCGAAAGCCUGACGGAGCAACGCCGCGUGAGUGAUGAAGGUCUUCGGAUCGUAAAACUCUGUUAUCAGGGAAGAACAAAUGUGUAAGUAACUAUGCACGUCUUGACGGUACCUAAUCAGAAAGCCACGGCUAACUACGUG
rnacentral:rRNA from 1 species